rnacentral:lncRNA from 1 species
GUAAAGCCCAAAAUCUGCCCGGGCCCAUACCAGCAAACCCCCCCACUUGCCCACUUGCGCCGUUGCCCCAUGUGCGCAACCAUUCAACCUCGCACGCCUCUGCUCCGCGCCAGCCUCCACGCAUGCCCAUCACCGUCUGCACCCCAUGCCUCUGUCACCUCCAUCGUGCCCAUCCCAUGCAAAGAGACAAAACAGAAACAAUAGGAAAUUAGAUGAAAAUGGGUUAUAAAAACCCGAAUCAAAAAUUGUACAGGGGGCUUUUUUUUUCUUUCUUCUUCUUUUCUACUUUGUAAACACUAAAGAGAAAUUUAGAGUCUUCAAUAAACAGAUAGCAGUGAUUGUUAAAAACAAAAAGAAAAAACAAAAGGUUGUAUUUUUUUCUUUGUUCCUUUCGAUUUUUACAUACAUAUACAUAUAUUUCUUUAUUUUCUAUCUAUUUAACAUAAAAAUAUACAACAAAUAAAAAAAACAAAAAAAUAAAUUUUUUACCUUUUCCGGCCACCGCGUGCGGUGGCCGUCGCCGGCGCUGGCGAGCCUCCGGUGGCCGUCCGGUGACCGGCCCCCUGGCCGGAUUUUCCUUCCCCCCUCCCUUCUCUCUUCCUUCUCUCUUCCCUCUCUCUUCUUUUUUUU